AUUGUAAGACCUUUAGAAGUAAUACUCAGGCUUAAUUUUACAGAAUCCGGAGGAUAAAAGACUAUGAUGCCAACUUUAAAAUAAAGGACUUCCCUGAAAAAGCUAAGGAUAUCUUUAUUGAAGCUCACCUUUGUCUAAACAAGUCCAUAUAAAGAGCUAUACGCUUGGGAGUACAGUGGCUCACACCUGCCAUCUCAGCAUUUUCAGAGGCCAAGUGGGGAAUUGCUUGAUACCAGGAGUUCAAGACCAGCCUGAGCAACACAGGGAGACCACAUCUCUACAAAAGAUUAUUUUUAAAAAUUAGCUGGGCUGAGUGGCAUGUGCCUGUGAUCCCAGCUACUUGGGAAGCUGAGGUGGAAGGAUUAUUUGAGCCCAGGAGGUCUAGGCUGCAGUGUGCAAUGAUUCAGCCAUUGCACUCCAGCCUAGAUGACAGAGCAAGACCCAGUCUCAAAAAAAAGAUUAUGAAUGGCUAGUAAGCAUGUGAAAAUAUGCUUGACAUCAUUACUCAUUAAGGAAAUGCAAAACUAAAACCACAGUGAAAUACCAUUUCACACCUAUUAUAAUAGUUAUAAUAAAAAAAAUCAAGUGUUGAGAAGAUGUGAAGAAACUAGAAUCCUCAUACAUUGUUGGUGAAAAAUGAAAAUGUUAUAAACACUUUGGAAAACAGUUUUGACAGUUUAAGAGUUAAACAUAAAUUCACCAUACAGACUAAAAUUCUUCUCUUAGGAAUCUCCCCAAGAGAAAUAAAAGUGUAUGUCCAGAGGAAGACAUGUAUACAAAUGUUAAUUUCAGUAUUAUUCAUAACAGCCCCAAACUGGAAAUAAUCAAAUGUCCAUGAGCCAAUGGGCCACCAACAAAGUAAAGAAUAUCCAUACAAUAUAAUAUAGAUUUAUUUAGCCUUAAAAGGGGAUGAACUACCGAUACAUACUACAUAAAUUAACCUUAGAAACCAGAAGUGUUAUGUCACCAAAAUGGCAGAACAGAAGCAAUCUGGCUUCAUUCUCCCCUACUGAAAACCAAAAACAAAUAUCCAGUGCCAAGAUUAACACCAGUAAUAUCCCAGAACUCACAUCUGAAGCUGAAAUGACUCCUGGGGACACAGAGAAGUGAAAAUCUCCAAGCAGAUGGUAAGAAAAAAGGACUUCUAUAUCCACAACACCCCUCCCCCAAACUGCCAGGUACCAUGAGGAAAAGUCCCCCUGAAAUCUUCAUUUCUACAGUGGAAAAAGUGAGACCAUGGCAGUCAGCCAGCUUCCCCACCAUCUUGGGUUCCUUUACAGGAAAACCAUUCCUGAAUCAACCCAAAGGAAGUAUUAUGAGUGCCUAUAGGCA
rnacentral:lncRNA from 1 species